rnacentral:rRNA from 1 species
UAUGCUUGCAUUGGAUGGCGACCGGCGCGCGGGUGCGUAACGCGUAUAGAAUCUGCCUUGUACAGGAGGAUAGCCUUUAGAAAUGAAGAUUAAUACUCCAUAAUGUUUUGGUCUGGCAUCGGACUGAAAUUAAAGAUUUAUCGGUACAAGAUGACUAUGCGUCCUAUUAGUUAGAUGGUGAGGUAACGGCUCACCAUGGCUACGAUAGGUAGGGGGUCUGAGAGGAUUAUCCCCCACACUGGUACUGAGACACGGACCAGACUCCUACGGGAGGCAGCAGUGAGGAAUAUUGGUCAAUGGAGGUAACUCUGAACCAGCCAUGCCGCGUGAAGGAAGACGGCCCUAUGGGUUGUAAACUUCUUUUAUAUGGGAAGAAACUGUUCUACGUGUAGAGCACUGACGGUACCAUACGAAUAAGCACCGGCUAACUCCGUGCCAGCAGCCGCGGUAAUACGGAGGGUGCAAGCGUUAUCCGGAAUCAUUGGGUUUAAAGGGUCCGCAGGCGGUUAAUUAAGUCAGAGGUGAAAUCCUACAGCUCAACUGUAGAACUGCCUUUGAUACUGGUUGACUUGAGUCAUAUGGAAGUAGAUAGAAUAAGUAGUGUAGCGGUGAAAUGCAUAGAUAUUACUUAGAAUACCGAUUGCGAAGGCAGUCUACUACGUAUGUACUGACGCUCAUGGACGAAAGCGUGGGGAGCGAACAGGAUUAGAUACCCUGGUAGUCCACGCCGUAAACGAUGGACACUAGUUGUUGGAUUAUUUCAGUGACUAAGCGAAAGUGAUAAGUGUCCCACCUGGGGAGUACGAUCGCAAGAUUGAAACUCAAAGGAAUUGACGGGGGCCCGCACAAGCGGUGGAGCAUGUGGUUUAAUUCGAUGAUACGCGAGGAACCUUACCAGGGCUUAAAUGUAGAUUGACAGGUUUAGAGAUAGACUUUUCUUCGGACAAUUUACAAGUGCUGCAUGGUUGUCGUCAGCUCGUGCCGUGAGGUGUCAGUUAAGUCCUAUAACGAGCGCAACCCCUAUCGUUAGUUGCUAGCAGGUAAAGCUGAGGACUCUAGCGAGACUGC